rnacentral:rRNA from 1 species
UACGAAGGGUGCAAGCGUUACUCGGAAUUACUGGGCGUAAAGCGUGCGUAGGUGGUGAGUUAAGUCUGUCGUGAAAGCCCCGGGCUCAACCUGGGAAUGGCGAUGGAUACUGGCUCGCUAGAGUGCGGUAGAGGAGAGUGGAAUUCCCGGUGUAGCAGUGAAAUGCGUAGAGAUCGGGAGGAACAUCAGUUGCGAAGGCGGCUCUCUGGACCAGCACUGACACUGAGGCACGAAAGCGUGGGGGACGACAAGCAGU